rnacentral:rRNA from 1 species
UACGUAGGUGGCGAGCGUUGUCCGGAUUUACUGGGCGUAAAGGGAGCGUAGGCGGAUUUUUAAGUGAGAUGUGAAAUACUCGGGCUCAACUUGAGUGCUGCAUUUCAAACUGGAAGUCUAGAGUGCAGGAGAGGAGAAUGGGAUUCCUAGUGUAGCGGUGAAAUGCGUAGAGAUUAGGAAGAACACCAGUGGCGAAGGCGAUUCUCUGGACUGUAACUGACGCUGAGGCUCGAAAGCGUGGGGAGCAAACAGG